GCUGCAUGCUGUAUGGGGAGCUGCUGCACUCGUUCCUGCUCUGCUUCUCUCUCUUCUUACUGCCGUUCUGUGCAUGAAGAGGAAGAGAGGAGCAGAGAGAGACACAGACAUUCAGAGUGUUCCAAAGCCUGGAGAUGACACACACACAGCACCGAACCCCAUGAAUACGUCCCCGGAUUAUGACACUCUGCAACUAUGUCCUCUGAUUAUGAUACGCUGAGGGGUGUGGCUCCUUGACUCAGUGAGGAGAAGUACUCCAGAACUGCAGAAUGAGAACGAACAGUUGAGUUUGGUUAGUGACUUUACAUUCAGCAUCAUGAACAGCACAGGAAGGUGCUCAGGGUGAGAGUUUUAGGAUUAGAGUUGAGGAUUAGAGUUGAACGGCAUUAAGACGUCACAACAAACUAAAUUCUGUCUUAAGUAAGUGUCAUUUGUUUGUUAUUCAAGCAGCUCCUUUAGUUUCUCAGGUGUCUUUCUGCACAUUUAAUAUAUUAUACAGUAUACACACACGCACAUAUAUAAUGUGUGUAGCGGCUUGGGAAACCCCUUCACAUUUUCUACUAUAUAUUGCUCUACAGCUUUUCCUCAUCAUCGUCUCUUCACUCGACUGAUCUCUGUUCACGUUAACAUCGGUGUGGAAAUCAUCACUGAUUAAUUCAGUUACUUCUGUUCUGUUGACCAAAUUCCUUGUUACUGUCCUUUUAUCCAUUUACCUAAACAAUUUACUCUGUAAAUAUUAUUUUCAAACUGAUAAUGAUACCAAGCUCCAUGAAGACGAAUUCUACUUUGCCUGAUCUGUUACUGUCC
ensembl:lncRNA